AACAACGACCAUUAAAGAAAAUACUUCUUUAAGAUUAUAAAUAUUAUCUUUCUAGGCGUUUCGGCACUUAUUAUUUUACAUUAUAAGAAUUUGUUUUACAUUCGAAACAUGUAUUGUGCAGCUCAAUGUUUUUAUCAUUUAAUAUGUACUGUUUGUUCAGCAACAACGUAAAAAAUGAGUCACGUUUUUAUAUAGGAUACGAGGUAUCGUGCAAUUCAAUGUAAAAUUAAAUAAAAAUUCUCCUGGCGUUAUGCCCGUCUGUGACUGGAAUGACAUUUCAUUAUUCUCGGUUAAUAUUUACUCGACUUUAUGAUAGACUCGGGUAGAUCUUGCAAGAUCUUGCAAUCAAGCGACUUUUUGUGUUUCUGUGUGUGUAUAAACUCCCGCUAUGCAAGAUUGAACAUCACAGAUGUUUUUGAUGCCUAAUUAUGUUACAAAUGUGUUCAAUAUCAAAAAUUACCUGCUGUUAAUUUUGAAUUAACAUUCAAGACAAGAUGAUGUCACCAACCAGUAGAUUAAAUCGCGUAUAGGUUUAAGGAUUUUUAUACGCUGUGUGUUCGAAAGAAACAUGCAUGACCUUUGCAUUAUGUUUUGAUACUUAUUGAAUAAUGGUAUAAAAUAGAAAUUUAAUAUUAAAAUAAAACCUUUUUACAU